UCUAAAACCCUGAACUUGACAGGAUGGUAAUCCAAGACUCUCCUGCUUUGGUCUUAUGAAGAAUAGUAGAGAUGGCAAGAGCUAUAGUACCAACCUGGCUUUCACCCCUCCGGAAUACUUGAGGACAGGAAGAGUGACAUCAGAAAGUGUGGUUUACAGCUUUGGAACCCUGCUACUUGAUUUGCUAAGUGGAAAACACAUUCCACCCAGCCAUGCACUUGACUUAAUACAUGGUAAAAAUAUUUCUAUG